rnacentral:tRNA from 1 species
GGAUGGGGUGUAGCUCAAUGGUAGAGUGUGUGCUUAGCAUGUAUGAGGCCCUGGGUUCAACUCCCAGCACCUCCA